rfam:Cavia porcellus supercont2_1745 genomic scaffold, whole genome shotgun sequence.
GGGGAUUUAGCUCAGCGGCAUAAGCGCCUGCCUUGGAAGCAGGCAAUCGCCAGUUCGAUCCCUGGUACCA